GACGAACGCUGGCGGCGUGCUUAACACAUGCAAGUCGAGCGGUAAGGCCCUUUCGGGGGUACACGAGCGGCGAACGGGUGAGUAACACGUGGGUGACCUGCCCUCAGCUCUGGGAUAAGCCUGGGAAACUGGGUCUAAUACUGGAUAUGACUCCACGGUGCAUGUCGUGGGGUGGAAAGCCUUGUGCGACUGAGGAUGGGCCCGCGGCCUAUCAGCUUGUUGGUGGGGUGANGGCCUACCAAGGCGACGACGGGUAGCCGGCCUGAGAGGGCGACCGGCCACACUGGGACUGAGACACGGCCCAGACUCCUACGGGAGGCAGCAGUGGGGAAUCUUGCGCAAUGGGCGAAAGCCUGACGCAGCGACGCCGCGUGAGGGAUGACGGCCUGGUU
rnacentral:rRNA from 1 species